rnacentral:rRNA from 1 species
GACGAACGCUGGCGGCGUGCUUAACACAUGCAAGUCGAACGGAAAGGCCCUGCUUUUGUGGGGUGCUCGAGUGGCGAACGGGUGAGUAACACGUGAGUAACCUGCCCUUGACUUUGGGAUAACUUCAGGAAACUGGGGCUAAUACCGGAUAGGAGCUCCUGCUGCAUCGUGGGGGUUGGAAAGUUUCGGCGGUUGGGGAUGGACUCGCGGCUUAUCAGCUUGUUGGUGGGGUAGUGGCUUACCAAGGCUUUGACGGGUAGCCGGCCUGAGAGGGUGACCGGCCACAUUGGGACUGAGAUACGGCCCAGACUCCUACGGGAGGCAGCAGUGGGGAAUAUUGCACAAUGGGCGGAAGCCUGAUGCAGCAACGCCGCGUGCGGGAUGACGGCCUUCGGGUUGAAAACCGCUUUCGCCUGUGACGAAGCGUGAGUGACGGUAAUGGGUAAAGAAGCACCGGCUAACUACGUG